rnacentral:misc_RNA from 1 species
AUUGGGGGUUUUGGGAAGAAGACCGGCCAGGCGGUGGCGAUGAUGAUGGUGGGACAAAAGGCGGGAGUAUGUCUGGCGACGUGAGCCAGCGGUCUCAUUGAAGGUUAAGCGGUCUAUUUCGACUGUUACUAUGUCGUCGGUGAGGCGGGGGGGCGAAGGAGGAAGAAGAAUAGAGGGAGAGGGCGCGGAGCUCUGAUUGGGAGAGCGUUGUCAUGUCUAUGAACGGGAGGAAGCAGCCAUUUUGGUGGUGGUGGUGGUGGCGACUGUGGUGCU